UAAUAUUGUGGAAGGCUAGGGGUAAAAUGGUAAUUUCACAAAGUUUAUAAGAAGACUCAUGUGGGCCCCACAUGCCACAUGGCAGCCCAUGAUUGGAGAAAAGGGGUGUGUUGGACCAAUGAAACCUUGACAUGUGUCACCACUUAGAUCUUGACAUUUGUCACCACUUAGGGCUUGACACGUGUCACCACUUGAGGGAUGACAUGUGUCACCCCUAAAGUAGUAUAUAUAUAUAUAUAUGAGUCUUAUGACUCAUUAAUUUCCACACCUAUCUAGAAAAUUCAAGACUAACAAAACGAAAUUACAAGAGAAAGAAAGAAGAGAAGAGAAGAGAAAUUAAGGUAGAAAGAAGGAAAGAGCUACGAUUUUGGGAGGAGAAAAAGGUAAGUUCUCCGAUUCCGUUCCAAGAAUUAAUUAUAUGAGAUAUACCAUGAUGUUAUGAAGAUGUUAGUAAUGAAAUUUUAUGGUUUGAGGCAGCCCAAAACGUUAUCAAACAGCCAAUAAGUUUCAGCUGCACUAAAGGAAAUUCCGAGGCAAGUUUUGGCGAGUUUUGGUGAAUUUCGGGAAAGGUUCAAGAGACGACGAGGCGAGCAUAGUUAAGAGUAAUCCAUAAGAGGUACAGACGAUUGGUUUGCUGAUCCGCUCGCUUAGGACAUCCACCAUGUUGGUCGACAGUGCUCCUUUGUCUGGAGCCCUAUUUUGGUACUGACACUUUCUGUUAUAUAUAUAUAUAUAUAUAUAUACGUUGUUCAGGGUACGGCGGGGCCCUGUCCCGUCAUAUGACUAGGAUAUCAUUCUGUAGAGGUCUGUAGACAUGAGAUGUGGGUUUUGUAUAUAUGUUUUGGGUUUUUUGUGUUUCGUGAUGGCCUAUCGGCCCUCGUACAUUAUAUCUGUUUAGAGAUCCCUUCUGAUCAUUACCUAUGUUUAUUCGAUUAAUGUACUAAGUGGGGCUAAGGGUAUGUAUGGGUGCCCAACUCGGGCACCAGUCAUGGCCUACG